rnacentral:rRNA from 1 species
GGAGGAUGCGAGCGUUAUCCGGAUUUAUUGGGUUUAAAGGGUGCGUAGGCGGGCCUUCAGGCCGGCGGUAAAAUUGCGGGGCUCAACCCCGCCGAGCCGUCGGAACCGGGGGCAUUGAGUACCGGAGAAGUACGCGGAAUGCGUGGUGUAGCGGUGAAAUGCAUAGAUAUCACGCAGAACCCCGAUUGCGAAGGCAGCGUACCGGCCGGUCACUGACGCUGAGGCACGAAAGCGCGGGUAUCGAA